rnacentral:rRNA from 1 species
GACGAACGCUGGCGGCGUGCUUAACACAUGCAAGUCGAACGGAAAGGCCCUGCUUUUGUGGGGUGCUCGAGUGGCGAACGGGUGAGUAACACGUGAGUAACCUGCCCUUGACUUUGGGAUAACUUCAGGAAACUGGGGCUAAUACCGGAUAGGAGCUCCUGCUGCAUGGUGGGGGUUGGAAAGUUUCGGCGGUUGGGGAUGGACUCGCGUCUUAUCAGCUUGUUGGUGGGGUAGUGGCUUACCAAGGCUUUGACGGGUAGCCGGCCUGAGAGGGUGACCGGCCACAUUGGGACUGAGAUACGGCCCAGACUCCUACGGGAGGCAGCAGUGGGGAAUAUUGCACAAUGGGCGGAAGCCUGAUGCAGCAACGCCGCGUGCGGGAUGACGGCCUUCGGGUUGUAAACCGCUUUCGCCUGUGACGAAGCGUGAGUGACGGUAAUGGGUAAAGAAGCGCCGGCUAACUACGUG